GGGCACCGGUCGGGUCCCGUGCCCAGCAAACGUCCCCUGCUGACAGCUUACGGAGAAUCGAGGAGAAAGCCUCGCGCUUUAGCGCGGGGAUGAAUCCGACACUACUCUUCA
rnacentral:misc_RNA from 1 species